GUGAGAAGACGGAAGAAAACGCGGGACGAGAGAGACACGAGCUUUUGGUGGGGUCGAUAGUUGUCCGAGUUGCUGAGAGAGACGGUUGUGUAACAAAGAAGUGAAUCGAGUAACGAGAAUCCCCGGGAUACAUUCGUUGGCUUCCCCAAGCAAGACGCGAGCUCCUCGUCACAAAGGAAGAGAGAGAGAGAGAGAGAGAGAGAGAGAGAGAAACACAAUUGAGAGUCUAAUUGAGAGAAGUGAAUCUUCAAUAGCGAGGUCGGGUCGAUGAAGAAGGCUUGACCUAAUGACCUGGAACUGCGCAUGCCGGAUAGUUUAUGAAGUGCGACCUGGAUGUAGGUCAGUGUCGAAAAGUGGACGUAGCAUGGACAUGAACCAAAUGGAGAUUUGACUGACGGUAUAAAGUGUUUGGGAUAAGUGUUUCCAAUUCCUAAAAGUGGAUGUAAUGGCGCUGCUGUACGGUCUAUAGUAGAGUCCCUGUAACAGAGUCUGGCCAACACGGCAGUUUUGGAAAAAUUCUGCGAGAGAGAUAGAAAUAUACGACCUCUUAUUCUAAACAAACGCAUGCGCAUGACAAUAAGAAGAAUCAAAGAACAAUGAGGAUGAUAAUGAUGAGGAAAAUGAUUAGAUUAUAUUAGACUCUUCACUUAAAUUAUUUUAAUUAAAAAAUCUAAGAAUCUAAAAAUUAAAUAAAUCGAAUUUUAUUAAUAUUAAAUAUAUACGUAUGUGUAUAUCCAUACAUAAAUAUUUUUAACUUAUAUAUAUAAACUUAAAUUAUCAUUCUCAUGAUAUUUUCUCCUUAUACUUUCGCCAUGUUAUAAUAUAAAAUUAACAUUAUUUUGUUUUUAUUUUGUAUUUACGUUUAACGCACAAUUUUGUAUAUAUCGUUUACAUAUAAUUAAAUAUUUGGAUAAUUAAUUUACAUACUUCGUGGAGAGAUAAUUGAUAAUUGAUAAGUUACGAAAUAGAUUUGAAAAAAAAAAACUUAAAUUUCUUAUACAAAUUUUUGUACCAGAUCGUUAUUUGUACAUUAUACUUGUCGAAUAAUUAUCCUUAUUAUUAGUUUCCUUCAAAAAAUAAACAAAAAAUUAAAAUUUUUCUUAUGCUG